GGGGGUGUACUCAAGUGGUCAACGAGGGUAGGCUGUAAACCUACCGGCCUUGUGCCUUCGUAGGUUCGAAUCCUACCGCCCCCA
rnacentral:tRNA from 1 species